GACGAACGCUGGCGGCGUGCUUAACACGUGCAAGUCGAGCGAUGAACCUUUCAUGAAUUUUUCGGAAUGAUUGGAAGAGGAUUAGCGGCGGACGGGUGAGUAACGCGUGAGCAACCUGCCUUAAACAACGGGAUAGCCUCGGGAAACCGGGAUUAAUACCGUAUGAGACCCCGCCUUCACAUGAAGAAGAGGUUAAAGAUUUAUCGGUUUAAGAUGGGCUCGCGCCUGAUUAGCUAGUUGGUGAGAUAAAAGCCCACCAAGGCAACGAUCAGUAACCGGCUUGAGAGAGGGAACGGUCACAUUGGAACUGAGACACGGUCCAAACUCCGACGGGAGGCAGCAGUGGGGAAUAUUGCACAAUGGGGGAAACCCUGAUGCAGCGACGCCGCGUGAGCGAUGAAGGAAUUCGUUUCGUAAAGCACUGUCCAAGGGGAAGAUAAUGACAGUACCCUUGGAGGAAGCCCCGGCUAAAUACGUGCCAGCCGCCGCCGUAAUAC
rnacentral:rRNA from 1 species